rnacentral:rRNA from 1 species
AUGGCAAAAUCUUGCAAACAAGCUAUUACAUUCUUUGGUAUUAUACAACGGAUAUACGUGCUGUUUUCACAUUGUACUAAAAGGUGGAAGAUUUUACUUGACAAUCUUCCAAAAGGAACAAAACUAACUCUCAAGCCUUUGUCCAGUACUCGUUGGGAGAGUCGAAUAAAGAGUGUGCAACCUAUCAGGUACCAAACUAUCCAUGUAAUUUCAGCUUUG